rnacentral:lncRNA from 1 species
GCUAGGUCAGAGAGUCUAUGGCCACAGUAGUAUGAUUGAUAGAAAAGUUUUUAUAAGGAUCACAAUUGGACUUAAGCUGAUCGAAUUUAUCAUAUAGCUGAUGCUUAGGUUUGACGAUUUAUCUAUGACCUGCCAUCUAGUCAAGACUCACAACAAAGGGACUGAAUCACAUGUUAACUAUACUUUGAGGUUUAUUUUUGAUUCUACUAAGUUACCACUGCAUACUGUUAGAUGUCAC